AUUGAACGCUGGCGGCAGGCCUAACACAUGCACGUCGAGCGGAUGAAGGGAGCUUGCUCCUGGAUUCAGCGGCGGACGGGUGAGUAAUGCCUAGGAAUCUGCCUGGUAGUGGGGGAUAACGUCCGGAAACGGGCGCUAAUACCGCAUACGUCCUGAGGGAGAAAGUGGGGGAUCUUCGGACCUCACGCUAUCAGAUGAGCCUAGGUCGGAUUAGCUAGUUGGUGGGGUAAAGGCCUACCAAGGCGACGAUCCGUAACUGGUCUGAGAGGAUGAUCAGUCACACUGGAACUGAGACACGGUCCAGACUCCUACGGGAGGCAGCAGUGGGGAAUAUUGGACGAUGGGCGAAAGCCUGAUCCAGCCAUGCCGCGUGUGUGAAGAAGGUCUUCGGAUUGUAAAGCACUUUAAGUUGGGAGGAAGGGCAGUAAGUUAAUACCUUGCUGUUUUGACGUUACCAACAGAAUAAGCACCGGCUAACUUCGUG
rnacentral:rRNA from 1 species